CUCUCCAAACAUAUGGCAGCGAGAGAACUGAAAAUGGUCAGUGCCAGGAGCAGAUCGUUGCUUUUUUGGGUGCCAGUGUGCAACUUCCUCGCGCUGCUCCCGCUCGCCGGCAGCACCCGUUGAGAUGUCUCACUCAAAAGUCAGAGCCUGACAGCUGUGAAGUGCACCUGAAGACUAACCCUGAUGGGAGGAGUGUGCUGAAUGGUCUUUUCUGAAACAUACAAAUGGGACUUUCCUUGUUCAGUACUCCACUAUUUUUGGACAAGUGAUCUUUUAACCUACUUAAGGAGAAGUGUUACUGUGAGAUGCUAAAUAACUGUUUGUGCCAUGCUUGCUCUGCAAGAGUAUUGGGAUGGGCCAAGAGGAGGCCAAGGUGAGGGGAGAGGUUUGCAUCUACAGGGCAGUGCCAGCUAAGCAGGUCCAAAGCCAAGCCCCUGGGUGGCCAUGCUGUGGAACUCCUCCAGGCACUCCUGGAAUCAGCACGGAUGGGGAAUUACAGCGGGCAGAGGCUGCCCCACUGCACAUCUUGUACACCAAAGGGAGCAGCAACUGAGCAGUGCAAGGGCUUGUCGCAGAUUCACUCAGGGAUUCAUGAAUUUCUUGGUGAUCCAAAAACAGAUGGAAGGAAAUCAUGUAAUGCUUGCUACUUGCAUGUAUUUGACCGGAAAUUUAGUAAAAUCAAUGGCAUUGUCUGAAAAACA